AGAAUACUUCCUCCAUCCGAAAAUACUUGUCGGAGAAAUGGAUAUAUCUAAACGUAUUUUAGUUUUACAUACACCUAUUUUCAUACAUCCGUCCCUCUGAUAAGUAAUUCCGGACGGAGGGAGUACAUU
rnacentral:pre_miRNA from 1 species